GGGUUGGUUUUGGUAGAGAACAGGACAUCAGCUUCCGAUGUCGAAGGUUACAGUUAUUGCUAUUUGAAUUAUCAAGUAAAACAUAUGCACUUGUAACUUAGCCAGUAACUUCAAAUUGCCAGUGUUUUAAUGUGCAUUAUAGGAACAAGUAGUUAGUAAUUUGUCAAGUUAGCUGCUUGGAAAUAGUCGUCACAUCAGUCCAAGGGCACAGCAAGUUGGCUAGUAUAGCAUAACGGCACGUCUAUAGGACUUCGGCAAUGUCAACACCACCACCAGGCUCUGUAUCACCGCCUGCAGGUCAACUGUUUGGAGGUUGCUGGAGUUGUCGGAUUCUGUCUGGUGGUGGUCUGCUGUUAGGAGCGGGAUAUGUCUUCCAAGCCGCCCGAAAAGUAAUGCGCCAAGGUGGAACAACGACCAUAGGAACAGUCGCACAGAUCGUGUUUGCAACCAGUCUGGCUGCUUGGGGAAUUGUAGUGCUAGCUGACCCAGUGGGUAAAUCGCACAGGAAGACGUGAUUUCCUCCUGUCCGAUGGAAAAUUCUGAACUUGCUGAAGCCUAAGCUAUCCUCCGUAUGAAAUGGAACCACUGUCAAAUCUAACCAGUGGUCUUGCCUAACUGAAUGUCAAAUACUUUUUUUUCUAUCACUGUCCACGUCACUUGAGAAUAUUGCAUAAUGGAAUAAACUGAGAAUGUGUGCUCUUGAA